UCCCAUUAUAUUGCUCUGCACUCCACCUGAAGGACGUACGCGCACAGCUGUUCAUACGACUAUACGAAGCCCUGUCUAGCUAAAAGUCUCCUCGGUCUCGAUCCUCACCUUGCCCCUGCAGCUGCAUACCCGGCCCUUUCGAUCUGGUUAUCAAUCGAUCCGGUCGCCAUGAACGACGGUCAAGGGUACUUUGCUGGCAAACCAGCGAAACCCAACGACAAAGAACAACAGGCCGGUGAUGAGGAGACGCAAGCUGUUGAUGCACAAACACCUGGCGCUGUCCAUGCCUCGCGGGCGUUGGAGGAGCAGCAAGCAAGAAGAAGUCUGGCCGUGUUCUGUAUGCAUAUAACUCAGCUGAAUCAUUCAAGUAAAUUGCAUGGAGGGAGUUGCCAUGGAUCAGCAUCUCUGUGUUGCAAGUUGUAAACAUCUCCGGAACCUUCGUGCUCAAAUUUAUCGAUGUUCGAUAUAUACGUUGGUUUCAUUAAUUGGUAUAGUGGGUAUGUUGAAAUUCAAUGGAACUAUCAACUAUGGUUGAUUAUCAACCAUGCACCGCAAAUAUUAUAAUGUUGACCUCUCUAAGAGCAUCCCCAGCGCUCAUCCAAAUAUCAUCCUCCAUAUACCCAUAUGGAUGGCCAUCCAAAAAAUAUUCCUCAUUCAUAUCUCUUCCCACUCUAACAGAUCAUCCAUAUUACAUCAUCUAUAUCACAUCCUC